rnacentral:rRNA from 1 species
GAUGAACGCUGGCGGCGUGCCUAAUACAUGCAAGUCGAGCGAACGGACGAGAAGCUUGCUUCUCUGAUGUUAGCGGCGGACGGGUGAGUAACACGUGGAUAACCUACCUAUAAGACUGGGAUAACUUCGGGAAACCGGAGCUAAUACCGGAUAAUAUUUUGAACCGCAUGGUUCAAAAGUGAAAGACGGUCUUGCUGUCACUUAUAGAUGGAUCCGCGCUGCAUUAGCUAGUUGGUAAGGUAACGGCUUACCAAGGCAACGAUGCAUAGCCGACCUGAGGGGGUGAUCGGCCACACUGGAACUGAGACACGGUCCAGACUCCUACGGGAGGCAGUAGUAGGGAAUCUUCCGCAAUGGGCGAAAGCCUGACGGAGCAACGCCGCGUGAGUGAUGAAGGUCUUCGGAUCGUAAAACUCUGUUAUUAGGGAAGAACAUAUGUGUAAGUAACUGUGCACAUCUUGACGGUACCUAAUCAGAAAGCCACGGCUAACUACGUG